rnacentral:rRNA from 1 species
GACGAACGCUGGCGGCGUGCUGAACACAUGCAAGUCGAACGGUGAAGCGCCUUCCUUUUGGGUUGGUGGGGAGGAGCGGCGAACGGGUGAGUAACACGUGAGUAACCUGCCCCCUACUUCUGGAUAACCGCAAGAAAGUGUGGCUAAUACGGGAUAUUCCGGGUCGGUCGCAUGAUGGGUCUGGGAAAGAUAUCGGUUCGGUUGGGGAUGGGCCCGCGGCCCAUCAGCUGGUUGGUGGGGUGAUGGCCUACCAAGGCGGUGACGAGUAGCCGGCCUGAGAGGGUGGACCGUCACACUGGGAGUGAGACCCUCGCCCGACUGCUACGGGAGACAGCAGUGGACAGUGUUGCACGCUGGGCGCUAGUCUGCUGCCGCGACGACGCGUGAGGGAUGCAGCCCUUCGGGUUGUGAACCUCUUUCGCUAGUGAAGCAGGCCUGCCUCGUUUGUGCGUGGGUUGACGGUCGCUGGACAAGAAGCGCCGGCUAACUACGUG